rnacentral:misc_RNA from 1 species
GAUGAAGAACGCAGCGAAAUGCGAUAAGUAAUGUGAAUUGCAGAAUCCCGUGAACCAUCGAGUCUUUGAACGCAAGUUGCGCCCGAAGCCAUUAGGCCGAGGGCACGCCUGCCUGGGUGUCACACACCGUUACCCUCGCGCCAACGUCCAUCGUUGGCCGCGGCGCGGGGCGUGCGCUGACCUCCCGCGAGCGGGGUCUCGUGGUUGGUUGAAAAUCGAGUUCGCGGUCGAGGGUGCCGUGAUGAAAUGGUGGAUGGGCGACGCCCGAGGCCAAUCACGCGCGACUCUGUCCGGCUCGGACUCCUGGACCCCUUCGGCGUCUCCGGACGCUCUUUGGCGAGACCUCAGGUCAGGCGGGGCUACCCGCUGAGUUUAAGCAUAUCAAUAAGCGGAAGA